rnacentral:rRNA from 1 species
UUUGGAAACAUCAUCUAGUAAUCAUUAACGUUAUACGGGCCUGGCACCCUCUAUGGGUAAAUGGCCUCAUUUAAGAAGGACUUAAAUCAUUAAUUUCUCAUACUAGAAUAUUGACGCUCCAUACACUGCAUCUCACAUUUGCCAUAUAGACAAAGUGACUUAGUGCUGAACUGUUUUCUUUUCGCUCGCCGCUACUAAGA